GACGGACGCUGGCGGCGUGCCUAAUACAUGCAAGUCGAGCGGACCGAAGGGAGCUUGCUCCUUUAGGUUAGCGGCGGACGGGUGAGUAACACGUGGGCAACCUGCCCUGCAGACUGGGAUAACUUCGGGAAACCGGAGCUAAUACCGGAUAACACCGAAAACCGCAUGGUUUUCGGUUGAAAGGCGGCUUUUAGCUGUCACUGCAGGAUUGGCCCGCGGCGCAUUAGCUAGUUGGUGAGGUAACGGCUCACCAAGGCGACGAUGCGUAGCCGACCUGAGAGGGUGACCGGCCACACUGGGACUGAGACACGGCCCAGACUCCUACAGGAGGCAGCAGUAGGGAAUCUUCCGCAAUGGACGAAAGUCUGACGGAGCAACGCCGCGUGAGCGAAGAAGGUCUUCGGAUCGUAAAGCUCUGUUGUCAGGGAAGAACAAGUACCGUUCGAAUAGGGCGGUACCUUGACGGUACCUGACGAGGAAGCCACGGCUAACUACGUGCCAGCCGCCGCAGUAA
rnacentral:rRNA from 1 species